UAUAUUGUAUACAACUAUGGUGUCAUUAAG
rnacentral:piRNA from 1 species